AUGAGAGUUUGAUCCUGGCUCAGGACGAACGCUGGCGGCGUGCCUAACACAUGCAAGUCGAGCGAUCCGGCACUCAACUAAGCGCUUACAGGAAGAAAAGACGGGAAAGAGAAAAAAGGCAGGAAGAGAAAAAAAUAUGAGUAAACGCGGAGUUGAGUGUCGGAUAGCGGCGGACGGGUGAGUAACGCGUGGACAAUCUACCCUGUAGACUGGGAUAACACCUCGAAAGGGGUGCUAAUACCGGAUAAUGUCGAGAAGCGGCAUCGCUUUUCGAAGAAAGGAGGGAAUCCGCUAUAGGAGGAGUCCGCGUCCCAUUAGCUAGUUGGUGAGGGUAACGGCCCACCAAGGCGACGAUGGGUAGCCGGCCUGAGAGGGUGAACGGCCACACUGGAACUGAGACACGGUCCAGACUCCUACGGGAGGCAGCAGUGGGGAAUAUUGUGCAAUGGGGGAAACCCUGA
rnacentral:rRNA from 1 species